rnacentral:rRNA from 1 species
AGCGAACGCUGGCGGCAGGCCUAACACAUGCAAGUCGAGCGCCCAGCAAUGGGAGCGGCAGACGGGAGAGUAACACGUGGGAACGUGCCUUUUGGUUCGGAAUAACUCAGGGAAACUUGAGCUAAUACCGGAUAAGCCCUUACGGGGAAAGAUUUAUUGCCAAAGAGCGGCCCGCGUCCGAUUAGCUAGUUGGUGAGGUAAUGGCUCACCAAGGCGACGAUCGGUAGCUGGUCNGAGAGGAUGACCAGCCUCAUUGGGACUGAGACACGGCCCAAACUCCUACGGGAGGCGGCAGUGGGGAAUAUUGGACAAUGGGCGCAAGCCUGAUCCAGCCAUGCCGCGUGAGUGAUGAAGGCCUUAGGGUUGUAAAGCUCUUUUAGCAGGGAAGAUAAUGACGGUACCUGCAGAAAAGACCCCGGCUAACUUCGUGCCAGCCGCCGCAGU